rnacentral:rRNA from 1 species
UACGGAGGGUCCAAGCGUUAUCCGGAAUCACUGGGUUUAAAGGGUGCGUAGGCGGGAUUGUAAGUCAGGGGUGAAAUGCUGCAGCUCAACUGCGGAACUGCCUUUGAUACUGGAGUGCUUGAGUGAUGUUGAGGUGGUCGGAACAUGUCGUGUAGCGGUGAAAUGCAUAGAUAUGUCACAGAACGCCGAUUGCGAAGGCAGGUCACUAGGCCUACUCUGACGCUGAGGGACGAAAGCGUGGGGAGCGAACAGG